ACAGAGAUUACCCAACUUUGCGUGACAGGCAGGCGUGACGUGUCCAAGGGAGGGGAGGAGUGAAGGGAGGGUCAGCGGAGGAAUACAGGGAGGGAGAGGAACGAAGGAGAAGCAGUUAGAGGAGAUCCACUCACGGGAUUCUGCGUUGUUGAUUUGUGUGUGGAAGUAUCGUGGGUUUGCCUGCCUCCAUUGUUGCUCGUCUGCUGAAAUAAGUUGUACCCCAGCAGGCCCCUCUUCAGGUCCAGCGGGUUCUCUGGUCAGCUGGUCGUCCACCGUGACUCCGAGAAGCUUGGCACAUUGGACCACCUGGAGGGGGUGAGGGCCCACUGUGAGCCGGGGAGGGGGCACUGGUACAGAGGAGGUACAGCAAUGCAUCACCACAGUGUUGCUGUGGUUGAUGGUCAUCCUGCUCUCCUCUGUCCACGUCUGCAGUCGCUCCAGAAUUGCUUGCAGUGGCGAGUAGUCCGGGUUCUUGGUGGAAACUGGGACGCCCACGGUGCAGUCGUCCACAUACUUCCAGCGAUGGGGGGUGUCAGUGAGGGCGUCGUUAAUGAGGAGGAGGAAGCAUAGAGGACCCGUCUUGGUCCCCUGGGGGACCCCACAUGUCAGCUGUUGGAAAUUAGAGACAGAGCCCUGAUAGCGAACGGCCUGACGCCUCCCUGUGAGGAAGUCGGCUAGCCACGCUAUCAGGUUAGGAGGGAGACCCAGACUUACUGCCUUGCUGAUGACAACAGUGUGAUCAACAAGAUCAAAGGCUUUUUUGAAGUUGUGUGUGUAUGUAUGUGUGUGUGUGUGUGUGUGUGUGUGUGUGUGUGUGUGUGUGUGUGUGUGUGUGUGUUUAAAAGUAUUGCCAUUAACAUAUACGUAUUUUCCUUACAGUUGAAGUAUUUGUAUAACUUUUAUACGUGUUGUUUUCACCGUAUGUUCUUCUGUUUAAGUAUAUUUUACAGUAUAAGAAAUGGCGUGACUUUGUAAGUAUUAUUCUGCACCAUCUAAGUAUGUUAGAUUUCAUUGUUUUCACGGUUUAAGUGUGUGCAGUUCCUCUUUAUAAAGGAGGUUAACUUACAGCGCAUCAUACACACACACACACACACACACACACACACACACACACACACACACACACACACACACACACACACUAUAUCACCUCCCACAAACACAUCCAUGCAACAAAGGCCUCAAUUACCAGCCAUUAGAGAGAGAGAGAGAGAGAGAGAGAGAGAGAGAGAGAGAGAGAGAGAGAGAGAGAGAGAGAGAGAGAGAGAGAGAGGGUACGAGUAUAUGGAGUCUUAAUGGUAUGUGAUAACAGGUAAGUAAGAGGCGGUGAUGGUGGUGGUAGUGUUUUUAUCACCUGUCUUAUUGAUACUGUAAAUUAAGGAUAGGCAUUGUACAAAAAAUGGAAGAGGAAUUAACAAAUCUAGAAGGUUAUACGUAGGUGUGCGUUUCUCUCAUCAUCUCCUCUCUUCCCUCCGCUCUUCUUCUCCCCUCACCUUCUUAUUAACACAGAUCGAAGUUUAUAAAGAUCACGAUACCAGACAAAAAGAAAAUAAGAAAACAACGCCAGCACUUCACGACAAGAUAAUCAAGGAAUUCUCAGAUACAAAGAUAAAUAUUGUAAGAGAUAUGAUAUGCUGAAUGAGUCUCCGUAGUGUGAAACUAACCAGGUACUGAAGUUAAAUACCUCCCACAUCUUGUCUUGACCACCUCGUUAGUUAGAAUUAGUGCUGUUAUUGUGCCUUACUGAUAAUUAUGAAAGGAAAACUCGUAAAGAAAGAACGUAAAGUCCCCGUAAACUGUAUCAUUAUUUGAAUUCAGGAGAGGUAGGGGUGUGAUAUUAAAUACACCAACUUGACUAAAAAUGGUGAAAUACUGAACGAGGAGUGGAGAGCUAAUGUUAUUCUUGUGUGUUUAAGUCAAGUGGUGGUACAGACAGGUGCGUUGUUGUUUUAUCCCCGUAAAUUAAAUACCAGGACAUAAG